UGGGGAAUAUUGGACAAUGGGCGCAAGCCUGAUCCAGCCAUGCCGCGUGAGUGAAGAAGGCCUUAGGGUUGUAAAGCUCUUUUAGCGGGGAAGAUAAUGACGGUACCCGCAGAAAAAGCACCGGCUAACUCCGUGCCAGCAGCCGCGGUAAUACGGAGGGUGCUAGCGUUGUUCGGAAUUACUGGGCGUAAAGCGCACGCAGGCGGCUUGUCAAGUCAGAUGUGAAAGCCCGGGGCUUAACCCCGGAAUUGCAUUUGAAACUGGCUCGCUAGAGAUAGGUAGAGGAGAGUGGAAUUCCCAGUGUAGAGGUGAAAUUCGUAGAUAUUGGGAGGAACACCGGAGGCGAAGGCGGCUCUCUGGACCUAUUCUGACGCUCAUGUGCGAAAGCGUGGGGAGCAAA
rnacentral:rRNA from 1 species